rnacentral:rRNA from 1 species
AGCUGACCUACGGGAGGCUGCAGUGGGGAAUAUUGGGCAAUGGGCGCAAGCCUGACCCAGCAACGCCGCGUGAAGGAAGAAGGCUUUCGGGUUGUAAACUUCUUUUGUCAGGGAACAGUAGAAGAGGGUACCUGACGAAUAAGCUCCGGCUAACUACGUGCCAGCAGCCGCGGUAAUACGUAGGGAGCGAGCGUUAUCCGGAUUUAUUGGGUGUAAAGGGUGCGUAGACGGGUAAUCAAGUUAGUUGUGAAAUCCCUCGGCUUAACUGAGGAACUGCAACUAAAACUGGUUAUCUUGAGUGCAGGAGAGGUAAGUGGAAUUCCUAGUGUAGCGGUGAAAUGCGUAGAUAUUAGGAGGAACACCAGUGGCGAAGGCGACUUACUGGACUGUAACUGACGUUGAGGCACGAAAGUGUGGGGAGCAAACAGGAUUAGAUACCCUGGUAGUCGUUCGA